rnacentral:lncRNA from 1 species
CAGUGAGCGUGUUUUCAAAAUAAUAAUCCAAUUAAUAUGCAUUAAGUAGAAAUUUCAGGGUUUUGCCUGGCAGUUGUGGCUGCUGCUGUCAUUUGGAAAUAAUAUUUCAUUGCUUCAGGUGGCAGAUACCUAGCAGCUACUGCCUAGUCAGCCUGGGCUCCGUCAGGAUUACCUGUGAGGUUGUCAGUGUAAUUUGAGGCUGGGUGUGCGUUCUGUGGAGAUGCUGCUCUUUCUAACCCUGUGAUUCAGCAUAAACAAGUGCUUUGCAAGCUUACCUUGGUUUACUAAGGCAAAAAAAUUGAUGGAUCUCUGUAACCUGUUCCUGUUUUUAGGGAAAUCUCUUCUUCUAUUGAAAAGAGAAAUUAAAUAAAUGUUUUUUUCUAAAAUUGUCUUGUGAACAAUUUAUAGCUGCAAGAGCUGCUGCAGUGGCACCUAAGCUGUUUUAUGUUUAGUUGCUGAUGUUUUCAUCUCAAGGGGGGGGUAUAUGUUGUGUUUUAUAAUAGGUAACCGACUGUGGAGUUCUCAUGUAGCCCAUACCUUAAUAGGAAAUGAUCUUUUUUUCAGAUCUGGGCGUAUCUUAGAAGAUAGCUGUUUGCAGCAGUCACUCCACUGUGACCAGGAGGUCAGCUGGGUGCCAGUCUUGAAGGUCUUCUGGAGUCUCAGACAAGUGUCCCAUCUGGCCAGUGUCACAAAGAUGAAAGGAAAUUGUUAUUUCAGACAAAGGCCUUUACUUGAUAGAGUGUAUCUAGCUUGUUGAUGGCAGGUCUUUCCAGUCUGGCACCCACCACUCAAGUCUGGUUCCUUCCAUUUUCUGCCGUUCUCCCCCCUGAUUUUUCCAUUCUAGUGGGUGAGUACAUCUAGUCUUUCUGGAGUGUCCAGUGUAAUUAUCUCGCAGUAUUCUGGAAUGGUUAAUCUCCAGCCUAAUUACAGAAAUGGCUUUAUGGUGAUACGUAUGUGUAUUGCGGUAAAUAUGUUGUAAGGUAUCUGCAUGUGCUCUGUGGAACAACUAUGUACACUACUGUUUGAUGUAAAGAUCAGCAUGUUCGAAGAUGUGGAAAAUAAGUUAUAAACUCCACUGUGUGGGGUGGUACUGGCUCCAACUAUACAGAGAAUGCUGACCAGCUGGGACAUCAUGAACAUCACGAAAAAGCUGCAAUGAUGGCAAGAAUCCUGAAGUAAUUUGUGAGAUUCAAAGCACAGUGUGGUUCCUAAUUAAAUAUUAAGAUUCCAUGAGUGCUGCUCAAAGUCCUUUAUAAUAGCAAAAUGCUGUUAAUACGAAUGAUCUCAUUUUUGUUUCUGUAGUGAAUGUCCCAUUGACCUCAAUUAAGUCCCAAAAGCAGGAAGCUGGUGACCAAAAUAGGCAUAGUUUGUAUUCCCAUCGCACUGAAACUCUUAGCAUUUCUGCCAACAGCUGACUGUGCUGAUUUCCCAGUACUGUCCUGAACUUACUCUAAUGAAAAUUAUUUCUAAGUGUGUCAGUGUAUGACCUAGGUGCAGGACCUUGCAGUUGGUGGUGUUGAAGUCCACGAGGAUCAGAGGGGCCCAGCUCUCCAGCCUGUCCAGGUCCCUCUGGAUGGCAAACCUUCCUUCCAGUGUGUCACCCACGAGCUUGUUGAGGGUACACUCUUUCCCAAGGAUUGAAGGGUGUUAAGGAAUAACAAAGGACCUAAAACUUGAGAAAAUAUUUCCAUUUGUGUAGUCAUACAGAGCAAGAAGGGGAAAGCAAGAUACUUGUGCCUGUCUUCGGCUUACUGCUGUUCUUCAUUGAAUUUGUGUUUGCAGCAAUGAGACAUUACUGAUGAAGCCCAGUUGGCUCACUGGAAUUUGGUUAUCACUUCAAAUGUUCCUUCUUAAAAAGUAGAAGCAAGUUUCUCUUGAGUACAGAUAGAAAACUGUUUAACUCUAGAGGCUUUCUAGCUUGCUUGACUGCCUUUUUAGUAUUGCUCUUAUGGUGAAGUUUUCAAGGGGGUGAUAUUCAUUGGCUGUGUUAAGCUUCACUCAUGCUUUUAUCAGAUUCUUUCAGUGUAUCAUAUGGUCCACUGUUAAAUUGAAGACUAUUCCAUUUGCUUCAAUUUGUUUUCCUGAAAAUGGCCAGUCUGUAACCAGUAACCCAAUGCUGCUUUAGUAAAACAACUUGUAAAAAGGUGCAAGCCAAAAAUACCUCAAACCUAAAUGCGUUGAUUUUAAGGGAGAUGUCUGGGUUCAGUGAACAGCAACUGGAGUUCAUGGAAACAUGCCUCUUUGAAAGGAGGUCUCAUUUCCAUAUAAAUAUGAUGGCUGGAAUGCAAUGCGUACUAUUUGCAGUAGUGAUGUAGUUCACUGAACAAAGCUAUUGUUUUUUAAUACAGUCAUAUUUGUUGAAAGUGAAGUAUUUUGAGAGAUAGAAUAAGCAUAAAACCAGCGAUGUCCUUGCCUUGCUAAACAGAGGAUAUUAAAGUCACCGCUCUGAAUGCUGGUUGUGAUUUUUUUUUUUUAUUUUUUUUUUUGUAAAAGUAAUGUUGGGAAAUAGUUGCUGAAGUGGCUGGCACCUUGCAAGGAGAUGAACCUUGUGAUUUGUGAGCUCUCUGGGGCACAGUGUCACAUAGUGCGAUGGAGUCCUCCAUAGCAUCGUGGUUAAUAACACAGUCUUUGAGAUGACGGGAAAGUGAGCAAAAUGGAUACUCGAUCUAUAUAAAGGUCAUCAACUCAAGUGAUUUACAGAGGCUGCUAAUAAAAUGAUAGUGCAGUGCUUGUCAAAGAAGCAUGUUGUGACUUGUGUAUCUCAACUGAAAUUCAGGCCUGCUAUCCUAAAGAGACACAGGAGAACUUAAACACAGGUCUUUUCCUGGGAUUGGUGCUAUUUUUAGUGAUUCGUUACAGUAUUGAACUGAAGGCAAAAUAUGACUUUGUGUAUGGUCGAGACUUUUAUAUAUCCGAAAAUUUUCAGUACUAAAGUAUGGAAACAUAUUUUUAGUAUGCAAAACAAAUUUGACUUAACACUUAAGUCUUAGUCCAUGUUACAAGUAGAUUAACUGAAG